ACAACGGCUCUUUUAAGAGCCACCUACUUCUUAAAACUUUGCAAG
rnacentral:ncRNA from 1 species